GGGGGUAUAGCUCAGUGGUAAAGCACAGGCUUAGCAUGCACGAGGUCCUGGGUUCAAUCCCCAGUACCUCCA
rnacentral:tRNA from 1 species